rnacentral:misc_RNA from 1 species
AACACUGUUAACCUGCGGUACCUGCGGAGGGAUCAUUACAGAGUUGCAAAACUCCCUAAACCAUUGUGAACGUUACCUAAACCGUUGCUUCGGCGGGCGGCCCGGGUCCUUCCCGGCGCCCCUCGGCCCUCGCGGGCGCCCGCCGGAGGUAAACCAAACUAUUGCAUUGUAUGGCCUCUCUGAGUCUUCUGUACUGGAUAAGUCAAAACUUUUAGCAAUGGAUCUCAGAUCGGAAGAGCA